rnacentral:rRNA from 1 species
AGACGUCUACAUUAGAUACCCGGGUAGUCCCAGCCGUAAACUAUGCUCGCUAGGUGUCAGGCAUGGCGCGACCGUGUCUGGUGCCGCAGGGAAGCCGUGAAGCGAGCCACCUGGAAGUACGGCCGCAAGGCUGAAACUUAAAGGAAUUGGCGGGGAGCACAACAACGGGUGGAGCCUGCGGUUUAAUUGGACUCAACGCCGGACAACUCACCGGGAACGACAGCAAUAUGUAGGCCAGGCUGAAGACCUUGCCUGAAUCGCUG